CUGGAACAGGGGGGAAGACCGAGAGAGCGGAGAGGGAAAGGGUGGCCACCGCCUAAACCAAGGAUUAGAGUCAAGUAAUGGGGCAUGGCGCUUCGCAGGAGCACGGUAGACCUUAGUGGAGCUUCGUAAAGCACGAUGAUCAACCCAGACCUACUAAAUUGCUCGCCGAAGCAAUGGUGGCGCCUCAGAUCUGUGAGCCACCGUGUGCAACGCCAACUGCGUCUCGAUCACCAGUAAUUUCACGAUUAGCGGAUUUGCCUUCACUCCCUUUUCGCGUAGCGUACGAUGAAUCGAGCUUUGGGGCGCUGGGUCACCAUGUGUGAAUCCGGCAAUGGCUCUUUCGCCGGAGACCCGUUCACCGCCGUGUCCGACUGCUCGGGUGGAGACGAUGGGUAGUUGCCGCUGAUGCAUUAACCAACGGUCCCGAUUAGAACCUGAGUGUACCGCUUCGGGGUUGAGCCUGAAUCGUUGAUCUCAUGGGUUGCAGCUGGGAUUGAACCGUGGGUACCCCCCUUUUUUGGCAUUUUCAAUCGUGGUCGUGGGUCGUCCAUCUGAGGGCUGGGCGUGGGCACUGGCGUGGUUGGAUCUCGGACGUUGGCUUCAGAUCCAAAGGGUAUGGUGACGUACCGGUUCGCUGCUUAUGCGAUCUGAUCCUAACUGUUGACGUUUGAUUCGAGGGCUCGAGUGCGAUGCAUGUGAUACUACCGUGGCAGAUUAUCAUAAAACCCCAUAGGCUUCUCGAUUAACAACCUGCCAUCCACAAUGGUUCGAAGAGUACUAGAGUCCGGUCCAGAAAUUUACAUUUUAGCCAUCGUAGUUAAUUAAAAUAGUAGUUAUCAUCCAUGGGUCAUCAGGAAAUAGAAAAUUAAUAUAAAAGAUGUUUUCUAGCAUAGUAAUAAAUCUAGAAUCCUAUUUAUAUCAUAUGUAAUUCAUUUUAAUUCCGAAUUGAUUCAUUCCAGUUGCAUUAAUCUCAUAUUAAUAUUGUUAUUCAUCUAGUAACCUUAUUUUAUCAUGAAAUCUAU
rnacentral:lncRNA from 7 species